rnacentral:rRNA from 1 species
UAGCGGAGCGUGUGGUUUAAUUCGAUACUACACGAAGAACCUUACCAGGGUUUGACAUGCAAGUGGUAGGAAACCGAAAGGCGACCGACCCUUCGGGGAGCUUGCACAGGUGCUGCAUGGCUGUCGUCAGCUCGUGUCGUGAGAUGUUCGGUUAAGUCCGCUAACGAGCGCAACCCUCGCUGUGUGUUAUAUGUGUCACACGGGACUGCCGGUCUUAAGCCGGAGGAAGGUGAGGAUGAUGUCAAGUCAGCAUGGCCUUUAUAUCCUGGGCUACACCACACGCUACAAUGGCCAACACAAUAGGUUGCUAAGCUGCGAGGUGGAGCCAAUCCAUAAAGUUGGUCUCAGUUCAGAUUGUAGGCUGCAACCCGCCUGCAUGAAGAUGGAGUUGCUAGUAACCGCAUA